AAUGUACAUAAACUGGCAUUUCUGAAGCAUUUAGACUUACUGCUUACUUUUAAAUCCAAGCAUUUUCUCUAUUCUCUUAUACUAAGAAUAAUGUUUUCAUUUUUUUGAAAGUGAAGUCUAAAUAGAACAAAAUUGUAGCUUUAUUUUUUGUUAUGUUAACAGAGAGUUCAAAUGUAACUGGGAAAGUAAAUAUGAAAACACAUUUUGAUACUAUUUUUUUACUUAGACUUUGAAAAUAUGAAAAUAGUUUCACUUGUACUUGUUUCAGGUUUCUGAUGUCAGUGCUAAUGUAAAGGUAUAUUUGUGUAAUCUAGUUACCAACAUUGAAUGUGAUCAUGAGCUGAUUUGUUUGUUCUCUCUCAUGUAUUUUGUUAAACUUUCCAUACUUUCACUUCAUUUCUGUGUGUGUUUUACCAAAUGUCAACCUGGCAUUGUUACCAUGUCAUUUUGCUGACAACCAUCAGAACAGUCAUUUUGUUUGAAUCAGUUGUAUGAUUUGUUUGUCUGAGAUCAAGGCAUUCUUACUGGGUCAAUGUUUCUCAUAUUUUCACUACAAUUUCAUCAUCUUGCAUCCAGUCACAAAAAAACUAAACUUAAAAACUAAUGAUCUGAGGUUUGUGAUUUCUUUAGAUCUACAUGUUUUAUAUGCUGUAUUAGUUAAAAGUUUAAUUUUAAAAAGUACUUAUGUACCUUGAAUGGUACAAAUAAUUUAAAAAAAAAAAAAAAGAUUAAUAUAUUCCUUU